rnacentral:rRNA from 1 species
CCUACGGGUGGCAGCAGUGAGGAAUAUUGGUCAAUGGACGAGAGUCUGAACCCGCCAAGUAGCGUGAAGGAUGAAUGCCCUAUGGGUUGUAAACUUCUUUUAUAUGGGAAUAAAACGUUCCACGUGUGGGAUUUUGUAUGUACCAUAUGAAUAAGGAUCGGCUAACUCCGUGCCAGCAGCCGCGGUAAUACGGAGGAUCCGAGCGUUAUCCGGAUUUAUUGGGUUUAAAGGGAGCGUAGGUGGAUUGUUAAGUCAGUUGUGAAAGUUUGCGGCUCAACCGUAAAAUUGCAGUUGAAACUGGCAGUCUUGAGUACAGUAGAGGUGGGCGGAAUUCGUGGUGUAGCGGUGAAAUGCUUAGAUAUCACGAAGAACUCCGAUUGCGAAGGCAGUUCACUGGACUGCAACUGACACUGAGGCUCGAAAGUGUGGGUAUCAAACAGGAUUAGAUACCCCUGUAGUC